rnacentral:rRNA from 1 species
UACGUGAGGGUGCGAGCGUUAAUCGGAAUUACUGGGCGUAAAGCGUGCGCAGGCGGUGAUGUAAGACAGAUGUGAAAUCCCCGGGCUCAACCUGGGACCUGCAUUUGUGACUGCAUCGCUAGAGUACGGCAGAGGGGGAUGGAAUUCCGCGUGUAGCAGUGAAAUGCGUAGAUAUGCGGAGGAACACCGAUGGCGAAGGCAAUCCCCUGGGCCUGUACUGACGCUCAUGCACGAAAGCGUGGGGAGCAAACAGG